rnacentral:rRNA from 1 species
AACGAACGCUGGCGGCAUGCCUAACACAUGCAAGUCGAACGAAGCCUUCGGGCUUAGUGGCGCACGGGUGCGUAACGCGUGGGAAUCUGCCCUUGGGUUCGGAAUAACAGUUAGAGAUGACUGCUAAUACCGGAUGAUGUCUUCGGACCAAAGAUUUACCGCCCAAGGAUGAGCCCGCGUAGGAUUAGGUAGUUGGUGGGGUAAUGGCCCACCAAGCCGACGAUCCUUAGCUGGUCUGAGAGGAUGAUCAGCCACACUGGGACUGAGACACGGCCCAGACUCCUACGGGAGGCAGCAGUGGGGAAUAUUGGACAAUGGGCGAAAGCCUGAUCCAGCAAUGCCGCAUGAGUGAUGAAGGCCUUAGGGUUGUAAAGCUCUUUUACCAGGGAUGAUAAUGACAGUACCUGGAGAAUAAGCUCCGGCUAACUCCGUGCCAGCCGCCGCCGUAA